rnacentral:rRNA from 1 species
AGGGAAUCUUCCGCAAUGGACGAAAGUCUGACGGAGCAACGCCGCGUGAGUGAUGAAGGUUUUCGGAUCGUAAAGCUCUGUUGCCAGGGAGGAACGUCCGUUAGAGUAACUGCUAACGGAGUGACGGUACCUGAGAAGAAAGCCCCGGCUAACUACGUGCCAGCAGCCGCGGUAAUACGUAGGUGGCAAGCGUUGUCCGGAAUUAUUGGGCGUAAAGCGCGCGCAGGCGGCUGUUUAAGUCUGGUGUAUAACCCUGGGGCUCAACUCCGGGUCGCACUGGAAACUGGACGGCUUGAGUGCAGAAGAGGAGAGUGGAAUUCCACGUGUAGCGGUGAAAUGCGUAGAGAUGUGGAGGAACACCAGUGGCGAAGGCGACUCUCUGGGCUGUAACUGACGCUGAGGCGCGAAAGCGUGGGGAGCAAAC